CGCGCCCCUGCCUCGUGCCUGCGCCGCUCGUAUGUAAAUGAGGGCGCGUGACGCGGGACGCAGAUGGACAAGGGAAGAGAGAGAAUGGCCGCUGCCGCCGCUGCUGCCGCCGCCGCCGCCGCCGCUCAGUGCCGGAGCCCUCGGUGCGCGGCGGAGAGGAGAGGAUUCCGGCGGGAACUCGACUCUUGGCGCCACCGUCUCAUGCACUGUGUAGGUUUUGAGAGUAUUUUAGAAGGGCUUUAUGGACCACGGCUACGAAGAGACCUCAGUUUAUUUGAAGACUGUGAACCAGAAGAGCUGACUGACUGGUCUAUGGAUGAAAAAUGUUCAUUUUGUAACCUACAGAGAGAAGCAGUCAGUGAUUGUAUACCAUCUCUUGAUUCUUCACAGUCAACACCAACGGAGGAACUAUCAUCUCAGGGCCAGUCCAACACUGAAAAGAUUGAAUGCCAAGCAGAAAAUUACCUAAAUGCACUCUUUCGAAAGAAAGAUCUUCCUCAGAACUGUGAUCCUAACAUUCCCCUAGUUGCUCAGGAAUUAAUGAAAAAGAUGAUACGUCAGUUUGCAAUUGAGUAUAUUUCAAAAAGUGGUAAAAUUCAAGAGAAUAGAAAUGGUUCAAUUGGACCAAGUCUAAUAUGUAAAAGUAUCCAAAUGAAUCAAGCAGAAAACUCCCUUCAGGAAGAGCAGGAAGGCCCCUUAGACCUCACUGUGAAUCGAAUGCAAGAACAAAAUACUCAGCAAGGGGAUGGAGUGUUAGAUCUCUCUACAAAGAAAACCAGCAUAAAAUCUGAAGAGUCAUCCGUAUGUGAUCCUUCUUCUGAAAAUUCCGUGGCUGGUUCAACUGUUGAUGCAAAAUCAGAGGAAGCUACUAAAAUGGAAAAAGGAAAAUCAGCAUUAAGCAAAGUUUUGGAAUCUUUGUGCAUACAUCACCAGCAACAAGUUUUGGCUAUGUUGAAAUUUCUAAUCCAAGAGCAGAAUGCUGCUUCUCUUUGCUGUUGUAAUACGUCAUAUACUAUGUCUUCAGAAUCUCAAAAGCCCCUAAUUGAAGAUGAUUUGCAUGGUCUUUUUUGUAGUUGUGAAUAUAGGCUGGCAGAAAGAGGGUGUUUACAAAAUGAAAGACAAAGCCCUGGUUUUGUGCCUCUGCCAGUCUGUAUUAAAGAUUUACAUUGUUUGUCUUGCCAAACUGUAGCUAUUGAACACUUUAAGACAGUAGUGAAUGGAGGAAUUGCAAACAGUUAUCAUUCUCACAGGUGCUGUUCUGGACUCUUACCAAACGUUCACUCUACAAAAUCAGGCUUUCACACUCCUCUUCCGUCAAGGGAAGUAUGUGACGUUUCAGUUGGUCUUAAAGAUGUUUGUAGAUCUCGAAGUCCCUCACCUCCGCCAUUAUCACCUGUACAGACUGAAGGAUUUGAAAAAUUGAAAGAUGUCAUCUCAGAGCUUUCAGCCUUAGAAAAUAACAGACUUGAAGCAAACAUUAACCAGCCUCCAUCUCUCACACCAGCAGAAAUAAGCAGUGACAGGGGUGAUCACGAAGGUAAAAUACAUAAAACUAAAAAAUUCAGGAACUCUGAUUCUUUUCUCUUGGAAGACAGCAAUAAUUGUACUACAAAUCAUGAAAAAGGUGAAACUACUGUAAUUUUUCAAGAUUUAAUGGAUCGUAUUAAUGAAAAAUUAAAAUCAAUAGAAACCACAGAUACAGCAAACCUUAUUAAAUUAUCUAGCAGUGAUUGUAAUACAGAUAAUGAUUUAAAAUUGAGAGAUUUAAUAACCUCUCUCUUGCAUAAUGCAAAGGCCAGUGAUUACAGUUUUAUGGAAUUACUGAGUCAACAUGAUAAAAAGGUAGAAAAUAAAAUUAUUCAGACAAGAUUUCGAAAGCGUCAAGAAACCUUAUUUGCAAUGCACAACUCUCCUGAUUCACCCAUGUUUAGAAGGCAAUCUUUACAGAUAAAAAGAGAACUUGCUAGUCUUGAUGAAAAUUUUAUAAGGAAAAAAUACACUGAAAAAAAUUCUAGGAAAUUGAUGUGCAACGAUGAGAUAUUUUCAACGGACAAAGAAGAAUUCUGUCAUUACCAAUCACCUUCUUUACAAAAUUCUAAAAGCCUUCAAGAAAAUACUCAUGCAGAAACAUCGUUUUCACCAGAUUAUGCAUUACAGUCAUUGCAACUACCUCUUCAUAGUUUAGAAGCUAACUUGGCUUUUGAUCUGUUUUCAGAAAGGUUUAAAACAACUUCCCGUGAGAAAAUGAGCAUAAGAAAAUCACAGGAGAAAUCUGCAGCUGGAAAAAAAUUUUUGCAAAAUCGUAGGGAGAAUCCAAAAUUAGAGAAUACUCAAACUCCUUUGAAAAGUGAUGUUCCUGGACUUUUGAACAGAACUAAACGAAAUAUUGUGCCUCCAGGGUGGUAUUCUAUUUAUGUAACAAAUAACUGUGUUUUCAAAAAGUCCCCUAAGGCCAAAAAAGUUUCUGAAUCUACAAAAAAAAAAGAUCCAGUGAAAAAUAUGCAAAUCGAAAGCCCACACGAUAUAGAUCUAAACAAAAUUGCAAUGAGUUCUAAUUUACAAGUUGUUGUGGAGCGUUUGGAAGAUACAAUAAAUAUGGCCAAAACAUCUUGGAAUAAUCAGUCAUUAUCAGAAGGAUAUAAAGCACCCAAGAAAUUGAUAGAAAUUGAUGGUAAAGAUCAAAAUCCUGGUAGAAAUGUGACUCUUACUGUAAGUAGAAUGACAUGCAAAGAGCAGAGUUUAUCAAAAUCUGUGGUAGCAUCCAGCAACAUCAAAAGCAAUCAUAUGCCUGCAAUAGAUUUGAAUAACAAAAGACUUGAUAAUCUGAAAAAGUCAUCUAUUUUAGAUACGGGUAGCUUGAUUUCCAGGGUUGAAAAUGUACCAACAAAGUAUGAAGCCAUUGAAAGCUCUUCUUUUUCCAACUAUUCUAGUCCUAUCAAACUCAUGUUUUUAUCUGAGGUUAAAAGCAGUGAAGGAGUCAAAUAUACUUUAACUUCAGUCAGUACUUCCAAAUCAAAUACUGAUCUUCCUUCUAAGAAACGUCCAACUCAUCAUGUAAUUGAAAAAAAACCAGAAACAAAUGAGGAUAUCCCAAAUGCAAACUUUGAAAAUUAUAGUUCUGAUCUUAAUGAUUGUGACACUCUUCAAGGAGAACUAAAAUUUAGUAGUGCAAAAGAAACUGCAGAAUCCUCUGCAAUGUUUAUAGAUGAUGUGAAUAGUGAUAAGCCACAAGAAGAACCUAAGGAAAAUUCAAGCAGUGCUAUUGAUUCAUCUUUUAAAAGAAAACCAGGUAGGCCUAAAAAAAUAGGUCCCCAGGUUGUGAAACAGAUUAAGCGACCAAUUGGAAGACCACCAAAACCUAAAACUGAUCAGACAGACAUCACCAUUUGCCAAAAUGAGUCCUUUAGUGCUAGAAAGAAAAGCCCAGAAUCUCUCAUAUCAGAAGUAAAAGAGGGUAUUUAUAAAAAGAGUAUUACAGUAACUGUUAUUUAUGGAAGGUCAAGAAGAACUAAAAGGCAUGUUUCUGAAGGAAGUGUAAACAUAAGCAAUGUUAUGUCUUUAAACAAUAAUGUUGCUGAUUUUCCAACUGAAUAUAGUAGUCUCAGAAAUAUUAGAGAAUACAAAAUUGACUCAGAUGAAAGAAUAAGUGCUGUUUCCAGUUUGACUACUGAAAGUGAGAUCUUGGGGUCUGGCUUUGAAUAUGUCAGACCUAUCAAGAACAAGUCUGUGAUACCUCAAUCUUCCAAGAACAUUAUUCGACCAAAUCAGAAGCCUUUAGCAAUAAUUAGGAAGCCUGGUAGACCUGCAAAAGUGAAAAUCUCUGGCAUAUCUGUGACUAUUAAUAGAGUUUCACCUCAGGAGAGAAAAGUAAGUAUUAGCAGCUGCUUACCUCCUUUAGAACAAGAGAAUAUAUUAGAGAAAACUCUGCCUGAAGAAAAGUAUGAUCACCAAUGCGAUAAGAUGGAUACAAGGCACACGGAAGCUGACAUAUUUAAGAAUGGGUCAAAAAGUAUGGUUGCUACUAUACCUUUGAGACAUUCUAUUAGGAAUAGAAAACCAUCUCUGCAUUUCUUACGUUCAUUAGCAUCAUCUAGCUCAAUAAUUUAUAGAAAUGCUCUACUCCAUAAAUCGUAUAAACUGCACUUGCAGAAAGGUAAAAGUCAGAAGGAAAAACAUAGGCAGUCAAGGAUAAAAAUAGCUUCAAAAUGUACCCCAGGAGCUAGAAAUUCAAGGAGUGCAAAAAAGUGUUACGAAGAUAACAAAUUACUACCCAUUUCUGAAGUAUCCUUGGACCCUAUCAUUUCAUCAAACCGUUUGCUCAGAUGGUGGGCUGCUUCUACUUCCAAUGAUUCCUUGUUAGAGGAAUUAAACAAUAGAUUUGAGCAAAUAACAAAUGCUUGGGUGCAGGUCAAUGGAGAUGAAGCUGAAAAUUGUGUUCAUAAAAAAAGAGGACACAUUGAAAAUGAUAAUUUCAAAGUAGCAAACCCGUUGGAAACCUGUCUUUUAGAACUUGAAGUUUCACCUGUAAAAAUGCUUUUUCGGAAAAAGUAUGAUUUGAAUGAACUCUGUACCUGGUUUAUGCAAACAACAGAAACACAGUCUCUCUCACUAGUUAGAAAAGCAAAUGCUCGAAACCCUUUGGAAGUAAUAAAUACCAGAGGAAUUAAAUUAAGGACCAAGUAUUCUGAUUUUAAUACCAGCCCCUUCAGAAAGCACUUUAAAAAAUUUGCACUAUCUUCUCCUUCAAAAUCAGCAGGAAAGUUGCAUAUACUGCAUAAAAUGGUUAGUUCUCCACUCUUAAAUGUGAAAAGUAAUUUAACACUAGCUAGAUUAAAAAGAACUGAGUUUAAGAGGUUGCAACAUGAAAGGUGGAGAAGAGAGGGAAAGCUGCACAACCAAGGAACAAUUGAUUGGAUCUCUAAAAGGAGGAACUUAAGAUUCUUCUGCCAGAACCGAUUUUUAAAUAAGACUGAGGGGGGAUCAAAUGCUGAUGUCCCACUCCAAGGAAAAAACACAGUAGAUAAUCAGUUUAUUUUGCCACCUGAGAUCAGGGGUGACUUUUUGCAACAAAGGGUGGCAAUGUCUGACUUCAGAACACAUGCUAGUUUAGAGAAUAAAUUUAAGUCAGAAGCAAAGGAGAAUGGAACAAAUUGCAGUCAAAAAGAUUUUGAAAAGGGACCAAGACUAGGAAAUGUAUGUCAAAAUAAUUGGAGGUCAAAAACCUUAAAAGAUUGUAGAAUAUUUUUGAGGAAGAUCAACUAUCUUGAACACAGAAAUACCUUUAAGCUAAAUACAAUCAUUUACUCUCCUGAAUCUAGUGACAGUGGAAAUAAUCGUCAAACUCAUAUAGAAGAAUCAAAGCGUUUUACCUUAAGAUCCCAUUCUGCUAGGCAAAAUUCUUUUAAAAAGCAAUCUAAAGAAAUAGAAAAUGCUAAAACAAAUAGUCCUUCAACCAAUAAAUUUCCUGGCCAACUUGACAAUAGUAAAUUAAAUAAAUGUGUUAACUAUGACAAGAAUCCUUCUGAUAAUUCUGAAGUUCUUAGCAAAUUGAACAAAAGAAAAAGACCAGCAUGGAAGACCACAGAAAUGUCAACAAAAAGACAUAAACGACAGUCUUGCAACAGUGGACAAAUGGCAAACUAUUAUUCAAAAUCCCAACUAGCCUCCAGACCUGCUUUGUCUAUCUGAGGUAAGAGGGUAAGACUUGACUGUGUGUCUCGAGUCAAGACAGAAAGGAGGAGCAUGAUGUCAGGUAUGAUAAAGAUUGAGGAGUAAGUGAAGGAUAGACGAUGCAGGUUCACAUAAGCCAUGUUUAUGUACUUUCAAUGGCUUCCCAUUGAAAAUCUCUUAGAGUAGAGAUUUAAAUUGGGAGUGUAUAGGGAAGGUACAUGACAUCAUCAGAUUCUCCUUUCUAAAAGAUCUUUGUGACUGCAUUGUGGAAAAGAGUGAACACAUAGACCAUUAUGGGAGUCUGAAUGAAAACUGUGCUAUUUGAAAACAGUGGUUUACAAACGUCGGUGUGCAUCAGAAUCACCAGGAGGGCUUGUUAAAAAAGAUGGUUGGGCUCCACAACCAACCAGUCUCUGUUUCGGUAGGUGCAGUGGGGCCCAAGCGGUGCUUAUGUUGCUGGUCCGGGACCACACUUGGAGAACCAUUGCUACAAAAUCAUACUACAAAUGAAAACUGAUGAGAAACUGAAUUUGUCUGAUGGGAAUACAGCAAGUUGCCC